rnacentral:lncRNA from 1 species
UACACUGCUUUCUCAUUGAGCCCAUCUUCAACCCUAAAUUGUCCUCUUCUCCAUAGUUUUUUCGUUUAUCUUCCACUUCCUAUUUCCGAUUCGCAUUGGACUAAUUCCGAUAAAUUUUAACGUCACAAGUUUUGCUUAAUUACAAAGGUAAAGAUUAUAAAAUUUCUUUCUGGCCAAGAAAGGCAAGAUUAGACAAAAGUUCGACAAGUAAUACAUGAGAGGAAUUUAUUCCUUUUCUGUUUUUUCUUUGGUCCGCUGCUUGAACGGUGAGACCCACUAGAAUACACUUGUCAAGCACCCACUAGAACGGUGCUCUUCAAUCUUCAGUUUUUGCCGCAAUGUGACGCUAUUAAAGAGGCGUCAGUUUUUGGAAAUUAGUAUGCUUUUUGGCCGUAUUUCUAUUUUAAAUUACCUUUGGGAAAUGUAAUGUGACAAUUCUAUAGAUCGAUUUGAUUGCUAGUUUUUAUUGUAUUUUGAG